rnacentral:rRNA from 1 species
GACGAACGCUGGCGGCGUGCUUAACACAUGCAAGUCGAACGGUGAAGCGCCUUCCUUUUUGGUGGGUGUGGAUGAGUGGCGAACGGGUGAGUAACACGUGAGUAACCUGCCCCCUUCUUCUGGAUAACCGCAUGAAAGUGUGGCUAAUACGGGAUAUUCUGGGUCUGUCGCAUGAUGGGUCUGGGAAAGAUCUUGUUUCGGUGGGGGAUGGGCUCGCGGCCUAUCAGCUUGUUGGUGGGGUGAUGGCCUACCAAGGCGGUGACGGGUAGCCGGCCUGAGAGGGUGGACGGUCACACUGGGACUGAGACACGGCCCAGACUCCGACGGGAGGCAGCAGUGGGGAAUAUUGCACAAUGGGCGCAAGCCUGAUGCAGCGACGCCGCGUGAGGGAUGGAGGCCUUCGGGUUGUGAACCUCUUUCGCCAGUGAAGCAGGCCUGCCUCGUUUGUGGGUGGGUUGACGGUAGCUGGAUAAGAAGCGCCGGCUAACUACGUG